rnacentral:miRNA from 12 species
CCAAAGUAGUGAACGUAAUUUAUC